CACAACACCAAUGCUGUAGCUACACGUGCGAUCUAAGUGGAGAUGGCCGAGUUGGUCUAAGGCGCCAGAUUAAGGUUCUGGUCCGAAAGGGCGUGGGUUCAAAUCCCACUCUCCACAUACAAAUCAUUUUUUUUUUUUUUUUUUUUUACAAGAUAGGCAUCUUUAAUUUGGAUUUGAAUUUGCAUAUAUAAAAUAUCCAGUCAGACAUGAGCCAGCUUCUCACUCACUCACUCAAGUGAAGGCAUUGCUUAAAAUUCAGUCACAGGAAUAUAUGCUUCGAGUUGAUUAUUCCUACCCUACCCACAUGAAGAAAGAAUAGAAUACCACAAACCCACCACUAAUCAAGUGGUUGAAAUGCUCUGCAGUUUUAUCAUACAGAAUUUAUAAUGAAUGAAGAUCGUCAUGCUCGUACAAAUUCCGUAUCCUGAACUUUACAGUAUACUACUCUUUGAUGAAUGAAGUACCUAUCCUCCAUACUCCCCCGCCUCUGAGGUUCCUGGAGUUUGUAAGCCAAGCUUCUACAAGUUACAACCUCCCAACCUCCUCUCUCUUUUUUCGGAGGCGUUACUGGAGCGGACAUGGAGUGGAGCUGCUGGAGAUAUCAUAGACUGCGUUGUCCAUCCCUCGAUCCCGUUCCGGACCUCUUUCCUGCUGCUGCUGCUGCAAGCUUAUAGCCUCACGCCUCUAGCCUUCCAUCUGUAUCUAGACUUUCCAGCACCAAAAGACUGCCUACCUCUUCCAAUGCAUCAAUUUUGUGUUUAGCUCAAUUUUCUUAAAAACCGAGCCUGUUUUAAUCGGCCAUGAAAAGCAAGAGUCGAUAGAAAAACAUGACGUCAACUCUCUCCAUCAGAGGGCAACUUUUGGCAUCAUCGCAUUCAUAAUGUGAAAAUAUUUGGACAAAUUUAACCAGAAACCCUUCACAUACAUUAGUACAACAGUUCCUACAGACAAGGUAAGAUAUGAAAAAUACUACGUUGCAUUAA